rnacentral:rRNA from 1 species
GGAGUUAGACGGUGCUUCUUCUGUGAGUGAUGUCCUUCCUGCCGGCUAUUAACCCGCAGGCCUUCUUCCUCACUGAAAGUGCUUUACAACCCGAAGGCCUUCUUCACACACGCGGCAUGGCUGGAUCAGGGUUGCCCCCAUUGUCCAAUAUUCCCCACUGCUGCCUCCCGUAGGAGUCUGGGCCGUGUCUCAGUCCCAGUGUGGCUGAUCAUCCUCUCAGACCAGCUACGGAUCGUCGCCUUGGUGAGCCGUUACCUCACCAACCAGCUAAUCCGACAUAGGCUCAUCCGAUAGCGCGAGGCCCGAAGGUCCCCCGCUUUCCCCCGUAGGGCGUAUGCGGUAUUAGCCUGGGUUUCCCCAGGUUAUCCCCCACUACCGGGCAGAUUCCUAUGCAUUACUCACCCGUCCGCCGCUCGCCACCAGGGAGCAAGCUCCCCGUGCUGCCGCUAGACUUGCAUGUGUUAGGCCUGCCGCCAGCGUUCAAUCUGAGCCAGGAUCAAACUCUGA